rnacentral:rRNA from 1 species
GCAUAUCAAUAAGCGGAGGAAAAGAAAACCAACAGGGGAUUGCCCUAGUAACGGCGAGUGAAGCGGCAACAGCUCAAAUUUGAAAUCUGGCCCUUUUAGGGUCCGAGUUGUAAUUUGCAGAGGGCGCUUUGGCGUUGGCAGCGGUCCAAGUUCUUUGGAACAGGACGUCACAGAGGGUGAGAAUCCCGUACGUGGUCGCUAGCCUUGGCCGUGUAAAGCCCCUUCGACGAGUCGAGUUGUUUGGGAAUGCAGCUCUAAAUGGGAGGUAAAUUUCUUCUAAAGCUAAAUACUGGCCAGAGACCGAUAGCGCACAAGUAGAGUGAUCGAAAGAUGAAAAGCACUUUGGAAAGAGAGUCAAAUAGCACGUGAAAUUGUUGAAAGGGAAGCGCUUGCAGCCAGACUUGCCUGUAGUUGCUUAUCCGGACUUUUGUCCGGUGCACUCUUCUGCGGGCAGGCCAGCAUCAGUUUAGGCGGUUGGAUAAAGGUCUCUAUCACGUACCUCCCUUCGGGGUUGGCCUUAUAGGGGAGACGACAUGCAACCAGCCUGAACUGAGGUCCGCGCAUCUGCUAGGAUGCUGGCGUAAUGGCUGUAAGCGGCCCGUCUUGAAACACGGACCAAGGAGUCUAACAUCUAUGCGAGUGUUUGGGUGUCAAGCCCAGACGCGUAAUGAAAGUGAACGGAGGUGGGAACCUUUUAGGUGCACCAUCGACCGAUCCUGAUGUCUUCGGAUGGAUUUGAGUAAGAGCAUGGCUGUUGGGACCCGAAAGAUGGUGAACUAUGCUUGAAUAGGGUGAAGCCAGAGGAAACUCUGGUGGAGGCUCGCAGCGGUUCUGACGUGCAAAUCGAUCGUCAAAUUUGGGCAUAGGGGCGAAAGACUAAUCGAACUAUCUAGUAGCUGGUUCCUGCCGA